GAGUUUGAUCGUGGCUCAGAGCGAACGCUGGCGGCGUACUUAACACAUGCAAGUCGAACGGGGAUCGCGGCGUGAGCAAUCACGAUGCGGUUCUAGUGGCGCACGGGUGAGUAACACGUGGGUAACCUGCCCUCGAGUCCGGGAUACCCCCUCGAAAGGGGGCUAAUACCGGAUACGUUCCUCGGGUCGCGAGAUCCGGGGAGGAAAGGUGGCGCAAGCUGCCGCUCUUGGAGGGGCUCGCGGCCUAUCAGCUAGUUGGCGGGGUAACGGCCCACCAAGGCGAUGACGGGUAGCUGGUCUGAGAGGACGACCAGCCACACGGGGACUGAGACACGGCCCAGACUCCUACGGGAGGCAGCAGUGGGGAAUAUUGGACAAUGGGCGCAAGCCUGAUCCAGCAACGCCGCGUGGAGGAUGAAGGUCUUCGGAUCGUAAACUCCUGUCAGGUGGGACGAAGGUAGGGGGGUAAAUAAUCCUCCUGUUUGACGGUACCACCAGAGGAAGCCCCGGCUAACUCCGUGCCAGCAGCCGCCGCCGUAAC
rnacentral:rRNA from 1 species